GGAUGUGAGGGUGAUCUGCCUACAACAUGUCACAUCAUUGAUCACCAGUGUUGAUUUGGCUGAUCUGGCUGGCUAGGCGGGUGUCCCCUUCCUCCCUCGCCACUCCAUGUGUGUCUCUCCCAAAGCUGAAUGCUCAGUGGAAGAGGACGAACAUCCCCGAUAGAGGAGGGCCAGUCUUUGGUCAAGGGUACAAGAGUAGCUGCACUCCCCUGCUGGGACCUCCGAACAAGCUCUCAGAAACAGGCAGUGUGCUGGCUUUGGUCCAUACCUUUGCUUGUGAGCCUGUUUUUAG
rnacentral:snRNA from 1 species